GAAUGGCACCACGAAGGUUAUACUGUCUCCUUUUUCUAAUCAGUGAAACUAAUCUCCCCGUGAAGAAGCGGGGAUACAGCUAUAAGACGAGAAGACCCUAUGGAGCUUUAAACAACACAGCAAUUACCAACCGAACUACAAAGUUUCUGAACAUUUUAAUAUUUUAAGUAAUCUGACUGCAAGUUUUUGGUUGGGGUGACCACGGAGCAUAACAUAACCUCCAUGUUGAAAGAAUUCUUUCUAAGCUAAGAACAACCUUUCUAGGCAUCAAUAUAUUGACAUCCAUUGACCCAAUACAUUUGACCAACGAACCAAGUUACCCUAGGGAUAACAGCGCAAUCCACUUCAAGAGCUCCUAUCGACAAGUGG
rnacentral:rRNA from 1 species